rnacentral:lncRNA from 1 species
CCGAGGGUGCACCAGCACCUCCUUCCACUACCGGCCCUUUAUCUGACAAAAGAGCCGGAGCCCAUGACUCUCCGACUGUGAGCAGUGUGGCCUUUCCAAGCCUCCAGAACUUUCUCAUUACAACUUUUCCGGGGUCGCACUACUCCCUGGGCCGCGCGGGCUCGGGCACGAGGACCUGGCCAGGGCGCAGCGCCGGCACGAAGGCGCGCGCCGCAGAACUGUUUCCUCAGCCGCGUGCCGGGGAACUAACUGUUUCCUCAGCCGCGUCCAGCCUCGCAGCACUGCUCUUCUGCUUGCUACUCCAGCGAAGGGACAUGCCUGCUGGCCAGGACGCUUAGUGGGCCUCGUAACCUGGCGAGUGUGUGCCCGCGCGUGUCCACCCUGCCCCCGGCCGGUGCGCCCCGCGCGCCCAAACCCGGCCGGCGACCACUGCGCGCCGGGCGCUUCCAAACUGCUCCUGUCCAGAGGCAUCCCUCUUUCGGCUUUCUCCAUCCCGCGUCCGCUUCCGCACCCGAGAGCGACAAGCAAAAAAGAUUCAGUGCAACUCAAGGACUGGUUUGUUAUACUCAAAAUGUACCAGGAACAGGAACAAAAGUAUUUUAUAAAAUAAUUAAUUUUUAUGGGCUAUGAGUCCCAAAUGGUUAUGUAAUCAAAGUGGAAGCAGAAAAGCAUGGCUUAGAAAAUAAUUGGUCAUGUCAUGUCACGCUUAACACAUGUGCAGACUCUGCCCUCCAGGUUGCAGUGCGAUGGUGUGAUCAAUGCUCAUAGUAGCUUCAAACUCCCAGGAUCAAGUGAUCCUCCUAAAUAAACCUCCUGAGUAGCUGGGACUACAGCUUCCACCAUGGGAUGAUACAGCAUGAAGGCCCUCACCAGAUAUGCACCCCUUGAUUUUGGACUUCCCAGACUCCAGAACUAUCUCUGUGGUUACUCUGUGAAUUGGUCUGUACAGGCCCACUUGAGUACAGAUGAGCCAUUUCAGCUAAGCCUACAAGACACUUCCAGCUAAACCUAGCCCAAAUUGCCAACUUGCAGAAUUAAUCUGGGCUAUCCCUGUGACUUGCUUUGACUAACGGAAUGUGACAGAAUGACGUUGUGCAACAUCCAAAUCAGGACUUAAGAAACUGUAGGCAGCCAUCAUGCUGUGAACGCAAGCUGUGUGGAGAGACUAAGUGGAGGUGAAUGGAGUCAGUUCAGUCAACAGCCCUACCUGAUAUUUCAGUCCAUAACUAGCCCUGUGUGUCAGCCCUGUGAACAGGUCGUCUUGGACUUUUCACCCCAGUUGAGAAUAAUGACUACAUCCUCAGCUGAUAGCACAUGGAACAGAGGAACUACCUAGCUUAGCUGGGCCCAUAUUGCAGAAUUGUGAGAGAUCAUGAAAAGUUGUGUUUUUUUUAUAACUA